CUUGGGCUACACACGUGCUACAAUGGCUGAAACAAAGGGAAGCGACAACGCAAGUUGAAGCGGAUCUCACAAAAACAGUCCCAGUUCGGAUUGUGGGCCGCAACCCGCCCACAUGAAGUCGGAGUUGCUAGUAAUCGCGGAUCAGCAUGCCGCGGUGAAUACGUUCCCGGGCCUA
rnacentral:rRNA from 1 species